UUCUAUAAAUUAGGACUAGAAUGAAUGGAAUAAUGGAGUGGUGCUUUCUUAUGUUAAAUAUUAAAAAUAAUUUUUUUAGUGAAGAAACUAAAAUGUUGUUGAGGGACGAGAAGACCCUAUUAAGCUUAAUAUAAUUUUAUAUUUUGUUGGGGAAACAAAAGAAUAGAACUUCUUUUGAUAAUGUUUUUGAUAAAUUAAGAUUAAUUAUUAAUUAUAAUAGAAUAAGUUACUAUAGGGAUAACAGCAUAAUUUUUUUUAAAAGUUCUUAUUAUCAAAGAAGAUUAUGACCUCGAUGUUGGAUUAAAAAUAUUAUAUGAUGAAGUUGUUGUAUAAAUUAGUCUGUUCGACUAUUGAAUUUUUA
rnacentral:rRNA from 1 species